AUAGGAAGAAGGAGAGGAAGAAAACACUCUCUAUUUAGAAUAUUGACAAAGGAAAUAUUCUUUCUAGAAGCCCAGAGAGAAUUGCCUCACACAUCUCAGUGCAGCAAAAGCGGUCAGAGAACGCACAAGAAAGUUUCUAUCGACCUCUCCUGAAAGGUCAUCUAAUGUGACUACACUUGAAUACUGGUUAAUUGUCUAACCAGUGAAGGCAGAAAAUUGGGAAUAAAUGGUAAAUGACAAUAUAAACACACUACAGGUUUUCUUUGAAACCUUGGCU